CAGCCGCCGCGGUAAUACGUAGGGUGCGAGCGUUAAUCGGAAUUACUGGGCGUAAAGCGGGCGCAGACGGUUACUUAAGCAGGAUGUGAAAUCCCCGGGCUCAACCUGGGAACUGCGUUCUGAACUGGGUGACUAGAGUGUGUCAGAGGGAGGUAGAAUUCCACGUGUAGCAGUGAAAUGCGUAGAGAUGUGGAGGAAUACCGAUGGCGAAGGCAGCCUCCUGGGAUAACACUGACGUUCAUGCCCGAAAGCGUGGGUAGCAAACAGGAUUAGAUACCCCCGUAGUCCCUGUCUCUUAUAC
rnacentral:rRNA from 1 species